UAAACUAGGAUUAGAUACCCUAUUAUUAGAAAUAAUACAUUGUUAGUAAAUAAUAUUUAUGAAAACAAAAAAUCAUGGCGGUAUCUUAAGCUUUUCAGAGGAAUUUGCUCUUUAAUGGAUAAAACACCCAAAUCUUACUAAAAUUGGUUAAGACAGUUUGUAUACCACUAUUUAAGUAAUUAUUAAUUAUAAUUGCUGUAAAUUUUAAACAAAAAAAAAGUUAAGUCAAGGUGCAGCAUAAAUUUUAGGAUGAAGUGAAUUACAAUGCUUUUUAGAAAAGCGAUUUAAAAAAAAAAAUUAGGAUUUGAAAGUAAAAAUUUUAAUAGAAUGAUUAUUUGAAUUAAGCUCUGAGAUAUGUACAUAUCGCC
rnacentral:rRNA from 1 species